CAUUACUUGGUCGCAAAGUGGGUAUGUGGAGCCUUGUAGGUUACAGUUAUACUGGAAUUAAGUUUGGUUUGGUUUUGUUUUGUGAAAGUGGUACAUUGUAAUAAGGAUAUGGGUAGUAUGGAAGAUAGUUUUUAAAAAGGAAGAAAGAAAAAUCUAUAGUCCUGUCACCCAGAGCUAUUGUUAACACUGUUUGGGUAUAUUCUGCCUGGUAUUGUUCUGUACAGGCAUGUGCUGCUCAGCAAAAAUGGACUCGUAUUAAGUAUUGUGAAACUUUCUUUUUCCACUUUUUAUCUUCAGUAGCAUUGUUUUGUUUUGAAGCAUAAUACGCACACAGAAAAGUGCACAUAUCAUAAUUACCUCUGUAACCAACAUCCAGAUCAGAAUCAACAUUAACAGUACCCCCAGAAGUCUCCCUACACCUCCCUUCCAAUAGCCCACUGCCCCCUCAAAGGUAACUACUAUCUUGACUUCUAACAGCAUAGGUAGCUUUUGUUUUUGUUCUUUAUAUAAAUGCAAUUUAUACAGUAUAUAAUUUCAUGUUUAGUGUCUUUGCUUUUAACACUGUGUGUGUGGGAUUCAUCCAUACUGUUUUCAUUGCAGCAUAAUCCGUACGUUAACAGACCACAAUUUAUCCAUUCUGCUGAUGGAUGCCAUAUUCUACUUUUGCCUUUUAAUGCUGGCACUGUUUUUUCCUCCCAAGGAAAAGCCAGAGCUACAGUAGAUGAGAGGAAUACUGACUUAACACAUUGAGGACUUACAGUGUUGUGAAAGGUAGUAGUGCCCAACUGUGGUGCUGCUCCCACACUAGUGCACCACUGCAAGUCAUCUGUUACUGACCCUAAAGUACCAGAAAACCCUCAUGUAUAUCUAGAUGUAUCUAUAAGAGCAGGUGCGGGGUUAAUUCUUGUCUGUGUGCCUUGCCUUUGUCCCCUAAAAACACUGCUCCCCUACCACCCUUCCUAGAGAUGAUGGCACAGGAGUAUUUCUUGCCCUGCAAACCUAUGUUCCAGAAGUGAGCUUCGUAUCCUUGUUCCUCCCCUUCCAGUAAAAUCCCUGCUUACUCUGUUGAGGCUCAUGUGAUCCUCUUUCAAGUAAGAUCAUCUCAUGACCUGAUUACUGCCUGUCUUGAAAAAUCUGAUACCUGCCUUCUUCUAAACUUCUUUCCUUCCAAGUGACUUCAGCUUCUGUGUGGUUUACCCAUCUGUGUUGGGAGUCCCCAAGAUACUCAUACUCACAUCUGUGAUUCUUACAGUAAGAGGAUACAAAGCAAAAUUAACAAAAGGAAAAGACACUUGACAAAGUCUAGAGGAAAGCAGGCUCAAACUUUCAGAGGGGUCUUUUAAAGUGGAAUAACAAGAUGUAGUUCAUUCUCCCCAGCAACAAGUUGUUGCAACAUCUAUGGAAUGUUGUCUACCAGGAAAGCUCAUUAGAAACUCAGUUCCCAGGGUUUUGAUUGGGGGUUAAUUAUGUAGGCAUCCUCUGCUUGGCACAUACCAAAAUCCCAGACUCCCAGAAGUAAAGCACAGGUAAACCACAUUGUUUAUACAAACAGUUUAAGGACAGUGAGCCAGUCUUAUCAUAUCUGGGAACGGUAGAAACCCUCCCGAAAUCAAGAGUUGCUAGAUGCCAGCCAAGGGCCAAACUUCAAAGCAGGCCUUAUAAAGGAUAGAAUUCAAGUCUGCUAUGUUAACUCUUCUGGAGCUUUCCUAUACCCCUAGUCUACUUGUCCUAUGACCUUCUCUCAGCCCCUCCUAUACAAAGCUGUGCGCACACCUGGACCUUGUCCAUCAAUCUCAACCAUCACCUCUAAAUCAUGGAUUUAGGCGCCCCACACUAGGAUCUUCCAACUGCCUUGCUCAAGAAAUAACUAACAACACAAUACAGUGAUCUAACCACUCGGUAACUGCUGUUAGCCUGGUGCAGGCCUCCAGGUCAGGGAUUUUUCCACUUUGGAUUCAUUAGUUCUCUCCUUAUGCAUUCCCACCACCAUCUCCAGCCUAGACUCCUUGAUCCAUCAUUUAUCUUGCAAAUAUCUUCAACUCUCUUGCUCUUACGAGCUUGUGCUCUUACCUAGAGAAAUGUCAACCCUGAGAGUAUCCACCCAUCCACAGUAUCAAUACCAAGAGCAUUGAGUGCUGCAGAAGAGAAUGACAUUAGAGUAAGUUAGCACCACUGUAAAUAUAAAUACUGCUUUCUACUGGGUCCUCAACAUUGCCAGUAAAACUUAGUACAUUUUUAUAAUCACCUCUAUGCAGUCACCAAAUGUCUUUGCCAUCUCUUUCAAAGAAAAUUCGACAUGGAUCGAAUGCCUCAAACACUUGCCGCACUCUAAACCAGCUUCAUCUGCAUCCAGCCUUUUCUUGCUGGCCGUAUCAAAAACAGAAAAACUUCACCCGUUCAAGAAACUGCCUGUGCUCUAGCUCCCUAACUUCCUCCAUUCCCAGACUUAUACUGAUUUCUCUCUUUGACUGCCUACGUCUUUAACUUCUUCCUUGAUAAGGGAUCCUUUAUAUUUACAUGUAAGUAUUAGGCUGGCAUAUUGUAUAACAGUAAUAUGUUAAUCAUAUAUACUAAUAUAUAAUUGUAAUUAGCAUAUUAAUCAUGUUGUAAACUCCUUUUUUCAGAAAAUUAUGCUUGGAUUCAACAUCCUACCAGCCCCUACUUAGCUCUUAACUGUCAAGAUGCUUAAUCUCCCUUUGACUUCAUAACCCACUUGAUCUACUCUCAGUUUUUGUGUUCUUGAUCCCAGUAUAUAACAGCAUCACCUGCUACUAAUCUGAGUGUGCCAGAACCCUGGAAGCCAUCUUUGAUACUCCAUUUCCUUCAAUUCUGCACCAGCGUAACACCUGUUACCAAGUUGUCAGUUCUACUUCCUAAAUAUAUCUAAUCCCCUUUUUUAAUUAAAAAAAAUAGUUUGAUUACUUUGAUAGGAGAUGUGUGUUUUACUCUGAAUCCCUCAGAAAGGCAGCAAUCUAGCAAUCUUGUCCCUUCCUAUCUCUAGUCUUAUGUUUUCAGUUUUUUCUAUGGAAAAGGGGAAACUAUUCAACAAAUAAUUGAGUCCUAACCGUGGAAGAGGUAAAAGUCCAAUUGUAGGGUAAGCAGUGGUGAACAAAACAAACCCAGACGUUAUUUGAGCUUGUAUUCUACUAGGAGGAGA